UGGGGAAUUUUUCGCAAUGGGCGCAAGCCUGACGAAGCAACGCCGCGUGAGUGAAGAAGGCCUUCGGGUUGUAAAGCUCUUUUACCAGGGACGAUAAUGACGGUACCUGGAGAAUAAGCCCCGGCAAACUUCGUGCCAGCAGCCGCGGUAAUACGAAGGGGGCUAGCGUUGUUCGGAAUUACUGGGCGUAAAGCGCACGUAGGCGGAUUGUUAAGUCAGAGGUGAAAUCCCGGAGCUCAACUUCGGAACUGCCUUUGAUACUGGCAAUCUCGAGUCCGGAAGAGGUUAGUGGAAUUCCCAGUGUAGAGGUGAAAUUCGUAGAUAUUGGGAAGAACACCAGUGGCGAAGGCGGCUAACUGGUCCGGUACUGACGCUGAGGUGCGAAAGCGUGGGGAGCAAACAGGAUUAGAUACCCUAGUAGUCCCUGAGCGGGCUGGCAAGGCGCAU
rnacentral:rRNA from 1 species